UACAGAGGUCCCAAGCGUUGUUCGGAUUCACUGGGCGUAAAGGGUGCGUAGGUGGCUUGGUAAGUUUGAUGUGAAAUCUCCGGGCUUAACCCGGAAAUGGCAUUGAAUACUAUUGAGCUGGAGGUUUGGAGGGGGGACUGGAAUUCUCGGUGUAGCAGUGAAAUGCGUAGAUAUCUGCAGGAACACCCGUGGCGAAAGCGGCGCGCUGGACCACUACUGACGCUGAGGAACGAAAGCUAGGGGAGCAAACAGG
rnacentral:rRNA from 1 species